rnacentral:lncRNA from 1 species
AGAAAUCGGCUUUGUGGUCGCUUGAUCGGGAGGUGUUGGCUGCGUCGUUUAAUGUGAGUAGUUUUAUGAUUGCUGGAUUGUUGGAAGCUCAGAAGGAGGCCGCUGUGUUGGGAUGUCCUGCUUGUGCCGAAGAAGAGUUGGAGAAGCUUAAGGAGGAAGAAGAGAAGAAGGAGUCGCCGCCUCAGCAACCACCACAACCGUUCCAACCACAGCCACCGGGAGAAAAACCACAACAACCACCACAACCGUUCCAACCGCAGCCACCGCAAGGAGAGCCACAAAAACCACCGCAAGAACCACAAGGACCACAAAAGGCGCCGUUCCAACCGCAGCCAGGGCAAGGAGAACCACAAGAACCGCAAGCAUCCAUGGAGACGAAGAUGAGAGAU